GAAAUGCGAUACGUAAUGUGAAUUGCAGAAUUCAGUGAAUCAUCGAGUCUUUGAACGCACAUUGCGCCCCCUGGUAUUCCGGGGGGCAUGCCUGUCCGAGCGUCAUUGCUGCCCUCAAGCACGGCUUGUGUGUUGGGCCCCCGUCCCCCCUGCUUUCUAGGGGGGGACGGGCCCGAAAGGCAGCGGCGGCACCGUGUCCGGUCCUCGAGCGUAUGGGAAGCAACUUUUUUUUGUCACCCGCUCCUGUAGGUCCGGCCGGCGGCCUGCCCCCAACCCUCAAUCAAUCUUUUAACCAGGUUGACCUCGGAUCAGGUAGGGGUACCCGCUGAACUUAA
rnacentral:misc_RNA from 1 species